rnacentral:tRNA from 1 species
GCGCCGCUAGCUCAACUGGCAGAGCAGCUGACUCUUAAUCAGCGGGUUCGGGGUUCGAGUCCCUGGCGGCGCACC